rnacentral:misc_RNA from 1 species
GAUGAAGAACGCAGCGAAAUGCGAUACGUAAUGUGAAUUGCAGAAUUCAGUGAAUCAUCGAGUCUUUGAACGCACAUUGCGCCCCCUGGUAUUCCGGGGGGCAUGCCUGUCCGAGCGUCAUUGCUGCCCUCAAGCACGGCUUGUGUGUUGGGCCUCCGUCCUCCUCCCGGGGGACGGGCCCGAAAGGCAGCGGCGGCACCGCGUCCGGUCCUCGAGCGUAUGGGGCUUCGUCACCCGCUCUUGUAGGCCCGGCCGGAGCUUGCCGACACAUCAAUCUUUUUUCCAGGUUGACCUCGGAUCAGGUAGGGAUACCCGCUGAACUUAAGCAUAUCAAUAAGCGGAGGA